rnacentral:lncRNA from 1 species
AUUCACCACAGAAGAAAAACAUUUGGCACUUAAAUCUACAUACAGACAGACACUCAUCUCCUCCCACCUCUUGCCAUCCAAGCUCAGGUCAAAAUGAAAUGAGACACAAAGACAGUGAGUUGUGAAAGGGAAGCAAAAUGUGGGAGGAGCUAUGAGCCUGCUGAACAGAAGCUUUAUUCUUGGAAUUUUCCAAAGAGAUCAAUAUCAGCACCUGUCAAAG